CAUGGCCGAUCCACGGAGCUGCGCCGCCGCUACAGCCAUGUGGGAUUGAGACGGUGAAACAGGACUUUUUAUCAUUUGCCCCGAAAUUGGUGCAACUUUGAUGAUUUGCCCAAAUUGGUGUGCCACCGUUUAAAAUGCCCUGAAGUUGAUGAGUCAAUCAGUGAGUUUCCGGCAUAUUCUACAAAAUGAACUACUCACUUAAAUCUAACCCUCCACCAUCCCCCACCCCCCGGGUUUUCUUUUCCACAGCCAUAUUUGGCUUACACCUGAACGGCAGGCACGCGCCAGGAGCUCCAGUCUGUUUAGAGAGAUAUGCUUACUUUCUCAAAUAUUUUCUUGUUUUUUGACAAAAAAUAUUUGAUCAAAGGGGAAAAGUAGUUAUUCCUUAAUUUUAAAAAAAACGCUAAGAAUUUUUGUCAGAACAUCUAUAUCGAAUAACGAGUUUCUCAUCUAGGGUUUCAACGAAGGAUUCAACCUAUCAAGGGACUCUUUGGAGAGGAAAAUAUAAGGGAGGGACGGAGCAUACCUUGCCGUCGCUGUCGCCUUGGCUGCCGGACUUGGACCGAGGUCGAGCGGGCGUCGGGGUAGGGACCGAAAGAGAGGGAAACGAGAGACGAAGAGGGAGGGUCGGAGGGAGGAGAGAUCCCAGGAUCUGUUCGCGGCGGUCAGGCCAGGCGCAGUGCGGGGCCUGUGGGCAGACAUGGAAAUUAGCCAGGGGUGGUAUGGUUAUUCCAGUCAUCCCAAAGGGUUAAAAAGUUUAGAAAUUGAUCCUCUAGACCAAAAUUAUCCAAGGAAUGUGCCACAUGACGGUCGUUAAAUUGCGAUUCUUCUCUUCUUCCUUGCUCUUCCGUGCCCUCCUCUCCCAUCUUUGCCG
rnacentral:lncRNA from 1 species